AUUAAAAUGCUCAGGCACAAUGUUGGUAUUCUUUCCUCCAUUCAUAGCCACCCUCCCACUCCACUAUCAUGUUAAUAAAUGAAAACACUGAUAUAUUACCAUACACUAAGAAUUUUACAUACAUUAACUCAUUGAAUCUUCUUAAUAAUGUUAUGAGGUAGAUGUUCUAUUUACCCCAGUUGAGUUAGAUGAAGGACGUGAAGCACCAGCAAGUUAACUGAGCUACCCUAAGUUACAGGGGCUCAUAAGCAGUUAGGAUCAGAACACAGAACAGAGUAGCUUCAUGGCUGUGCACAAUACCCUGCACCGUCCCACCCUGACUCCUAGCCAUGUUUGAUGACAAAAUGUCAAAUCUUGCUCUUUGUGCAUAAUUUGCCUGAAGAUACAGAGAAAUUAUCCUGCCUCCACCCCAUACUCUUCACCCGGUCACAUUUGCCAGCUCAUGGGCCUAGAAAAGCAAUCUUCAGCUCUUUCCGAGUAAAGCAGGCUAAUAGAGCAAGCCUGCAGCCUGAAAAAAUUUGAUUUCACUCUUAAUAACAUACUUAAUUACAUUACAAAUCUAACAUUUUAUUUGACUCUCCCAAAUUGAAGUUCAGAGUCAAUUAGUUAAGUAAUAUGUAAAAAAAAACAAACAAACAAAAAAAAAAACAGGACUUGAGAACUUAGGGGAUGUGAUUCCGAAGUGCCCGAGUGGCAAUGUUUCCUGUGUGUCUGAGGCUCAAAAAUUUCACAUCGAGAGAGGUGCUGGAUUUCAAGUGUUGAGUGACUAUACUUGAAUCACAAGGCAAUUCAUUCCCAGAUCCCAGGUCAUCACAUAUCUCCAGAGAAAUAUAGGAGAUGAAACCAUGGGACGGAUUUACACACUCAAGGGGGCUCAUUUGAGAACUAUCCCAAAUGAGGAUGGGGGAGUAUCCAGGAAUGAUUCCGCAUGAUAUGCGUGCUUUGGCACUAUGAUUUCCUUACCCAAUUCCAAAUCUUGCACAUCAAAACAACAGAAAGACUCAUAAAUGCAGAAAAGCUCAUUAGCUGAAUAGUGGUGGCAGAAAUGAGGACAUAUUUGGCUGGAAAGUGUUUAAAUCCUUGUGAUCUCAGAGCUCAUAAUGUGUACAAACCCAAAGACAUCAUUAACCAUGUACAGAGUUGUGCUUCUGUAGUCCCUUUAACAUUGAACAUGAGAGAACAAGACUCCCUGGAAAUAAACAAAAUCCACCCCUAUGCCCCACACCUAACGUCAGGACAACCAAAAGGCAUGAAUGAAUGUAGAAAGCAAAAGUAUCCCAGAGCUUAACUUCUUGGACCGUGAAUUAUUCUCUAGUGUGUAAGGAAAUUAUAUUCCUGGAGGCAGCCUCUGAGGCAGUUUUAACCUAGAAACUUUUCCAGAAUCUGCCAUAAGCCCCUGCUUUAAGCCAGGGGCUCUAUCUGUUGAGUGUUGCUGCUUCUGCUGCUGUAACAAAUUACCAAAGCUGUAGUAGCUUAAAAUGACACCAAUUUAUUAUCUUAAAGUUAUUAUGGUCUGUAGUUCAAAAUGGGUUGGCAGGAUUGUGUUCCUUCUAGAAAUUCAAGAAGAGAAUCCAAUUCCUUGUCCUUUUCAAUUUCAGGGGGUUUCAUGCAUCCAAUGACUCACAGUCUCUUUCCUCCAUCUCUAAAGACAACAGAGGUUUGAAUUCUUCUGACACUGAAUCACUCUGACCUCUACUUUUCUUUUAACAUUUCUUCUCUGGUCUUAAUCCUGCUGUCUCAAUUUUAUAAAGCCCUUAUGAAUACAUUAGGUCCACUUAUGUAAUACAGGAUAAUCUGUCUAUCUGAAGAUUCUUAAUCACAUCUACAAAGUCCCCUUUUGCCAUGAAAGGUAACUGUGAUGGUUAAUAUUAAGUGUCAACCUGAUUGGAUUGAAGGAUGCAGAGUAUUGUUCCUGGGUAUGUCUGUGAGGGUGUUGCCAAAGGAGAUUAAUAUUUGAGUCAGUGGACUGGGAGAGGCAGACCCACCCCCAAUGUGGGUGGGCACCAUCUGGUCGGCUGCCAGUGCAGCUUGAAAAAGCAGGUGGCUUAAGCUGGCUUUUGCUGAGUCUUCUGGUUUUCAUCUUUCUCCUGUGCUGAAUGCUUCCUGCCCUUGAACAUCAGACUCCAGGUUGUUCAGCCUUUGGAUUCUUGGACUUACACCAGUGGUUUGCCAGGGGCUUUUGUGUCUUUGGCCACAGACUGAAGGCUGCAUUGUCAGCUUCCCUACUUUUGGGGUUUUGGGACUUGGACUGAGCCACUACUGGCUUCCUUGCUCCUCAGCUUACAGACGACCUAACUUGGGACUUCACCUUGUGAUCCUAUAUUUACCUACAGCCUCUUCUUUUGUAUUUCAAACAUGAGCCCAUGUGAUUGCUAAGCUGAGAAAAUUUGUCUAACAACAACAGAAUGUACUGAGAACAACAAUUCCUUCCCUUAGAAUAACUCUUCUCCCAAGAGUUUUUGAUGCCUCAUGAAAAUAGCGUGAAUAUUAAGAAAAAUAUCCACUAACAUUCUGGAAGGAUUAUAAGAUGUCAGGCAAAAUUCAUCCAGAAAUCAAGAACAAAAGAGCCUGGGUGGCCAGUCUACAGAGGCCAACUUUCAGGAAAAAGAAUCAGGGCAAAGAAGGGCAGCAAGAACUGGAAAGUCGAGUGAAGAAUUCAGCAGCAAAGAGGAGAGGAAAGGGGGACAAUGAGAAUGGGGACAUGAAGGAGGAGUGAAGGGCACUACAACCAAAUCUUGAUAAGUAUUGGCCCUUAGCACAGACUGAACAUAGGUUGAAAAGGAGAAGGGAUCCCAGAAGAGCAAACAGUCCCGGACUAAUAGAGUAGCUCUACAGUGCCAUCAGAGCUGGAGGCCCCUUCUAUUUGUUCAUUCUGUCAUCCUUAACAUGUUCUUUCAUUGUUAUGGUUUCAAAUCUGUUCCACUUCAGUCACCAUGCCAACAAUCCAGUAUAAAAAUAAAGGAAUGGAGAGAAAAAAUAAAGAUGUGCCCUUUUCUUUUUGGCACAAUUAUGAUCCUAUAAUCUAUAUUACCCUUAACUGGCUUUUGCUGUAAUAAAACCAUAACAACUGUAAUCUCAACUAAUAGGGAGACAGAGGCAGGAGGAUUACUUGAGCUCAGGAGUUUCAGCUUGGGCCACAAAGCAAGACCCAGUCUCUGAAAAAGAAACAAAACAACAAGAUACAACAAUAAAAUCGUAACAACAAAACACUAAGAAAUCAUUUCAGGUCAG
rnacentral:lncRNA from 1 species